GCUUAGCCGUAAACAUAGACAGUACAAACACAAUACUGUUCGCCAGAGAACUACAAGCAAAAACUCAAAACUCCAAGGACUUGGCGGUGCUCCAUAUCACCCUAGAGGAGCCUGUCCUGUAAUCGAUACCCCCCGAUCAACCUCACCAUUUUUUGAAACUCAGCCUAUAUACCGCCGUCGCCAGCCCACCUUAUGAAAGAACAAAAGUGAGCAAAAUAGUCACCAACUAAAACGUCAGGUCAAGGUGUAGCACAUGAAAUGGAAGAGAUGGGCUACACUCUCUGUCCCAGAGAAAACGAACAGCAUAAUGAAACAGCUGCUUAAAGGUGGAUUUAGUAGUAAGACAAGCAAGAGAGCCUGUCUUAAAUUAGCCCUGGAGCGCGCACAC
rnacentral:rRNA from 1 species